rnacentral:misc_RNA from 1 species
CACAUUGCCCAUAAUGUUGUUCUUCAUUCUGAAGUAGAAACUUUUACUCAAAAUUAGAUUUUAUUAUUGAAGUAAAACUUCUACGCGCGAUUGACUUCGGAAAUAGGCUGAUAAAUGCGUGACGAGAGCGUUACGAAAAGAGUGAUCGAAUGAGGCGAACGGAUCGAAAGACAGAGGUGUACCGGAAAAGUACCAACAGAAGAUUACCAUCUUGGUCAUCAAUGGAAUCAUUAAUGGAAAAGUUCAAAUAGAAGAUGGUAGAGAUGUGUAUCUUUUUAAUAAUAAUUAUUUGAAAUCGUUUGACUACUUAUAUACAAAUAUUUUGAAUAUCACGCAAAAGAUGUCGAUUUUAAAAUACAUAAAUAAUCUGGCAAACGAAAAAAACCGACUUCAAUUACAUCGACAAGUAAUACAAUGUAGAUCGACGAAAAAAUAGUCAAGUAACUACGCAUUAUCAAACUUUACUCCAAAAGUUGUCAUCAGAUCUCGAUGAAAUUUAAAUGUGAACACAUAAUAAAUAUCGGCUUUCGAUUAAAUUAAAAAUCAUCAAAAUCGGUACACCAAGUAAAAAGUUUGCGGAUUUUCAAGGGUUUCCCCUCGAUUUCUCUAGGAUCCCAUCAUCAGAUUCUGGUUUUCUCGUC